rnacentral:misc_RNA from 1 species
AGCACACUCUUGUACUUUCCAUUGCUUAAAAUCUCAAGCUGGUCACCAAUAUGGAUGACUAGGGCAUUUGGGAUAUACUUAACACCAUACCAUUUUCCAUCUCUAGAGGCCUGGAGGCCCUGCACAUCGUUGGGUACAAGAAUGGUGAGAGAGGACAUGUCAGUAUGAGCCACCACCCCAAGAGCCAAAUCUGGUCGUGGACAAGGUGGAUAGUAGUUUAUUUUCAGAAGGUAUUGCAAGUUCUCUCCGCCCAUAGCCUCCUUUAGUUCAUGCUCUUUAAGCCCUAACCCUAACGACAAGGUCUUCAAUAGUUUAUCUGCCACUCUAUUCAGGUGUUUUGCAUAGUCCUUGUUGGCCUCCCUGUAAGAAGGUGGAUUUUUAGGCCAAAACUGGUAGUUGAUUGAAGAAGGAGGCCAUAUCUUAUGGAACAAAU